rnacentral:rRNA from 1 species
CCUACGGGUGGCAGCAGUGAGGAAUAUUGGACAAUGGGCGAGAGCCUGAACGAGCGAAAUAGCGUGAAGGAUGACUGCCCUACGGGUUGUAAACUUCGUUUAUAAAGGAAUAAAGUGAGGCAAGUGAGCCUUUUUAGAUGUACUGUAUGAAUAAGGAUAGGCUAACUUCGGGCCAGCAGGCGCGGCAAUGCGGAGGAUACGAGCGUUAUCCGGAUUUAUUGGGUUUAAAGGGAGCGUAGAUGGGUUUUUAAGUCAGUUGUGAAAGUUUGCGGCUCAACCGUAAAAUUGCAAUGGAUACUGGCAGUCUUGAGUACAGUUGAGGUAGGCGGAAUUCGUGGUGUAGCGGUGAAAUGCUUAGAUAUCUCGAAGAACUCCGAUUGCGAAGGCAGCUUACUAAACUGCCACUGACAUUGAUGCUCGAAAGUGUGGGUAUCAAACAGGAUUAGAUACCCUAGUAGUC